GCACACGCGUGUGCUGUACCGUGGGGCACGUGUGUUGCACGGCUCCGGCACACGCGUGUGGUGCCGUGUCGCAUGGCUGCAGCACAUGCGUGUGCUAUGGGGCAGGACACGCGUGUCCCGCAGCUCCAGCGCAUGCAUGUGAUGCCGCGUGACGUGGUUGCAGCACAUACGUGUGCUGUGGUGCAGGACACGCGUGUCACACAGCUCUGGCACACGCGUGUGAUGCUGUGUCAUGCGGUUGCAGCACACGCGUGUGCUGGUGCCAUGUUGUGUGACUGCGGCACACGCGUGUGAUGCUGUGUCAUGUGCCUGCAGCACACGUGUGUUACAGUGCAGGGCACGUGUGUUGCACGGCUUUGGCACAUGCGUGUGAUGCUAUUUUACAUGGUUGCAGCACACGCGUGUGCCGCAGCACAGCGCACACGUGUCGCACGGCUCCAGCACACACGUGAUGCCCGUUUCAGCACACGCAUGUGCUACAGCGCAACACACGUGUCGCACAGCCCUGGCACACGCCUGCAAUGCCGCGUCACGCUUGCAGCACACGCGUGUGCCACGGUGCCACACAGAUGUCCCGUGUCGCGCGGCUGCAGCACACGCGUGUGGCGACGCUCCCUGGUCGCUGCGGGUGUGAGGGCGCCGGCUGUGCCGCUCCCCGCGGGUGUUGCGUUGUUGGGUGUCCUGGCACGGUGUUGUGUGCGUCCCCAUGGGUGUUGCGUUGUUGGGUGUCCUGGCACGGUGUUGCGUGCAUCCCUAUGGGUGUUGCGUUGUUGCACCGCUCCCCACGGGUGUCUCAGCACGGUGUUGCGUGCAUCCCUGUGGGUGUUGUUGCACCCAUCCCCGUGGGUGUCAUGUUACCGAGUGUCCCGGCACGGUGUUGUGUCCAUCCCCAUGGGUGUCGCAUUGUUACAGCCAUCCCCGCGGGUGUUGCGUUGCUGAGUGUCCCAGCACGGUGUUGCACCGCUCCCUGGGGCUGUUGCGUUGUUGUGCCUGUGCCUGUGGGUGUCCCAGCACGGUGUUGCCUGCAUCCCCACAGGUGUUGCGUUGUUGCAGUGCUCCCCGCGGCUGUCGUGUUAUCAAGUGUCCCGGCACGGUGUUGCAUGCAUCCCCGCGGCUGUUGCAUUGUUGCACCCAUCCCCACAGGUGUUGCGUUGUUGAGUGUCGUGGCACGGUGUUGUGUGCAUCCCCGGGGCCGUUGCAUUGUUGCACCACUCCCUAUGGGUGUCCCGACACGGUGUUGUGCGCAUCCCUGUGACUGUCGCGUUGUUGCACCCGUCCCCACGGGUAUCGUGCUGUCAAGAGUCCCGGCACGGUGUUGCACAGCUCCGCGGGGCCGUCGUGUUGUUGCACCCAUCCCCACAGGUGUCACGUUACCGAGUGUCCCGGCACGGUGUUGCCCGCAUCCCCAGGGCCGUCGUGUUGUUGCACCGCUCCCUAUGGGUGUCCCAGCAGGGUGUUGCCUGCAUCCCCACGGGUGUCAUAUUACCGACUGUCCUGGCCCGGUGUUGCCUGCAUCCCUGGGGCUGUCGCGUUGUUGCACCCAUCCGCACGUGUGUCACUUUAUCGGCUGUCGUGGCACGGUGUUGC
ensembl:lncRNA